UUUAUGGAGAGUUUGAUCCUGGCUCAGGAUGAACGCUGGCGGCGUGCCUAAUACAUGCAAGUCGAGCGAACAGACGAGGAGCUUGCUCCUUUGACGUUAGCGGCGGACGGGUGAGUAACACGUGGGUAACCUGCCUAUAAGACUGGGAUAACUUCGGGAAACCGGAGCUAAUACCGGAUAAUAUUUUGAACCGCAUGGUUCAAAAGUGAAAGAUGGCUCUGCUAUCACUUAUAGAUGGACCCGCGCCGUAUUAGCUAGUUGGUAAGGUAACGGCUUACCAAGGCGACGAUACGUAGCCGACCUGAGAGGGUGAUCGGCCACACUGGAACUGAGACACGGUCCAGACUCCUACGGGAGGCAGCAGUAGGGAAUCUUCCGCAAUGGGCGAAAGCCU
rnacentral:rRNA from 1 species